rnacentral:rRNA from 1 species
UACGUAGGGGGCAAGCGUUGUCCGGAUUUAUUGGGCGUAAAGAGCGUGUAGGCGGUUAUACAGGUCCGCUGUGAAAACUGGAGGCUUAACCUCCAGACGUCGGUGGAAACCGUAUGACUAGAGUCCGGAAGAGGAGAGUGGAAUUCCUGGUGUAGCAGUGAAAUGCGCAGAUAUCAGGAAGAACACCCGUGGCGAAGGCGGCUCUCUGGGACGGUACCGACGCUGAGGAGCGAAAGCGUGGGGAGCGAACAGG